rnacentral:tRNA from 1 species
GGGUGGAUGGCGGAGCGGUCAAUCGCACCAGACUGUAAAUCUGGCGCCUCCGGGCUACGGGGGUUCAAAUCCCUCUCCACCCAC